ACAGCAGUCGCCGCGGUAAUACAGAGGGUGCGAGCGUUAAUCGGAUUUACUGGGCGUAAAGCGUGCGUAGGCGGCUUUUUAAGUCGGAUGUGAAAUCCCUGAGCUUAACUUAGGAAUUGCAUUCGAUACUGGGAAGCUAGAGUAUGGGAGAGGAUGGUAGAAUUCCAGGUGUAGCGGUGAAAUGCGUAGAGAUCUGGAGGAAUACCGAUGGCGAAGGCAGCCAUCUGGCCUAAUACUGACGCUGAGGUACGAAAGCAUGGGGAGCAAACAGGAUUAGAGACCCGUGUAGUCCCUGUCUCUUAUAA
rnacentral:rRNA from 1 species